rnacentral:rRNA from 1 species
AUGUGGUCUUCUGUGCUCGGCGUUCUCCUCGGUUCUCAUCAACAGCGAAACAAGUGCUCCCCCUUGGGGAAGGGAGUCAGGCAGGGAGAUUCCUUGUCGCUGGCACUCUUCAUUUUGGCCAUGGACGCGCUGCAAGGCAUGAUUGAUUGGGCCAGGCGCAAUAAUCUGCAGGCCAACCUGGGUUUGGACAGCAGAAUCCCGCGGGCCUCUAUCUUCGCUGAUGAUGCAGUAUUGUUUUUCACUCCAGCGCAGUCCAACCUGCUGGUGAUCUCAGCCAUGCUGCAGCUUUUUGGGGAGGCCUCGGGCCUGAAGAUUAAUUUUGCCAAAAGCUCCAUCACUUGCAUUAGUUGUGAGGAGGUCCGGUCUGGGGAGAUUGCGGAUUUCUUUGGAUGUCAGCAGGAUGGCUUUCCCAUAAGAUACCUGGGGCUACUGUUAUCAAUCUACAGAUUAAAAAGACAAGACAUUCUCCCACUGAUUAACAGAUUUUCAAGUAAGAUGAAAGGAUGGAAGCCCAAGCUUCUGGUCCCUGCUGGAAGACUAGCUUUGACGAGUUCAGUGCUGAUGGCCCUACCGAUUCACUUUAUGACUGUUUUCGCGCUGCCGGUCUGGGCGCUCAAGAUCAUUAACAAGAGAUGCAGAGGCUUUGUGUGGAAAGGAGAGGGGGAUAUUAAUGGUGGGCACUGUUUGGUCCCAUGGGCCCGCAUAUGUAGACCAAAGGACUGGGGGGUCUCGGCCUCCUCAACUUGA